AGAAAGAGGAUUAACUGAGGGGAAAGACCUACUGUUGUAGGUGGCACCAUUCCUUGGCCUCGUGGCACAAAGAUACGCUAAAUGAGGGGAAGGGUAAAGUCAGAAAACAAAUAGUUUACUAGCUUUCCCCAUGUCUCUGCUUCCUGACCCACUAUGACAUGAAUUGUUCUGCCCUGCCAUGCCCUCUCUCCAAUGGUGGACUGAACUGUAUACAAUGCUCUCAUCGUCUCCUGUGGGUAUUGCCAUUGGACAAACUCAACUGGAAUCCAGUGUGCACAGGGAUGUGGCAAGGCAUUUCAUGGAGAUCAAACUCCCUGAGCACAAAGCAGGAUGAAGAAGACAGGAGUAUGUCUAUAUCAAGAUUGUUAUAGAGUAUCCCAUAUUUAGGAUUCAUGAAUUGUUUAUACCAUCCAUGCUGAUGGGGUGGUUAAAGAUCUGGUUUUAGAGUAAAAAAAAAAAAGUC